UGGGGAAUUUUGGACAAUGGACGCAAGUCUGAUCCAGCAAUGCCGCGUGCAGGACGAAGGCCUUCGGGUUGUAAACUGCUUUUGUACAGAACGAAAAAGUCUUUAAUAACACUAGAGGCUCAUGACGGUACUGUAAGAAUAAGCACCGGCUAACUACGUGCCAGCAGCCGCGGUAAUACGUAGGGUGCAAGCGUUAAUCGGAAUUACUGGGCGUAAAGCGUGCGCAGGCGGUUAUAUAAGACAGAUGUGA
rnacentral:rRNA from 1 species